rnacentral:rRNA from 1 species
UGAGGAAUAUUGGUCAAUGGGCGAGAGCCUGAACCAGCCAAGUAGCGUGCAGGAUGACGGCCCUAUGGGUUGUAAACUGCUUUUAUAUGGGAAUAAAGUGAGGGACGUGUCCCUUAUUGCAUGUACCAUAUGAAUAAGGACCGGCUAAUUCCGUGCCAGCAGCCGCGGUAAUACGGAAGGUCCAGGCGUUAUCCGGAUUUAUUGGGUUUAAAGGGAGCGUAGGCUGUUUGUUAAGCGUGUUGUGAAAUGUAAGAGCUGAACUUUUAGAUUGCAGCGCGAACUGGCAGACUUGAGUGCGCACAACGUAGGCGGAAUUCAUGGUGUAGCGGCGAAAUGCUUAGAUAUCAUGAAGAACUCCGAUUGCGAAGGCAGCUUACGGGAGCGCAACUGACGCUGGAGCUCGAAGGUGCGGGUAUCGAACAGG